GGAGAUUUACUGAAGUCAGGAGGCAAAAAUCACAUGCAAAUGUAUUCAGACUGUGCACAGUCAUUGCUGUGACACCGGCCCUUUGGAAAGCGGCUGUGAACACAAUUGAAGACAUGCUUCCUGGGUCUCCAGAGUGUGCCAGGCUCUAAUCAUGCUGGACGAUGUGGUGAAGACGAGGAUGAGGCCGUUGGCCACCGCCCUCCAGGAACUGACCAUCUGGCAGAGGAAACAUAGGCUCGGAGAGACACCUCUGCUGUCCGUGGUCACUCAGCACAUCGGUGGAUCACUGAUAGUAGAUUCCAGGGCUGAGAGUAUUGUUCCUGUUGGAUACACUUGUGUUGAACACAGUUGUCAGAGAACAGGGUGGAAAUGAGGAGGCUGCCCUGCCUCGGAGAACCUGAAAAAAGACUUUAAUGACCAGAAAACAGUCACAGCCAUUGUUCAGCUGCUCAGCAUUCUUUCCCCUUUGUUCCCUGUUUAGUAACAACAGCCAAAGUUAACGUCAUGCAGGAUGAAAGACCUAUUGUGGGUUUGGGAUCAACCAAGUUUGCACUGAUGACUUUUGACUCUAGUUAGUUUGAAACCCGGGUUCGUCCUGCUAACAGCGUCCACAGCUCUUGACUUGAACUGAAGCAUCUCCCUUUGAGCUGCAGAGACAGCUGGCUAACCUUGAGGAUGCUCUGGGCGCUGUGAGUGGAUUACAAGACUCAUGUUAUUUUUGUGUUA